AUUGAACGCUGGCGGCAUGCCUUACACAUGCAAGUCGAACGGUAACGGGCCUUCGGGUGCCGACGAGUGGCGAACGGGUGAGUAAUACAUCGGAACGUGCCCGAUCGUGGGGGAUAACGAGGCGAAAGCUUUGCUAAUACCGCAUACGAUCUACGGAUGAAAGCAGGGGACCGCAAGGCCUUGCGCGGACGGAGCGGCCGAUGGCAGAUUAGGUAGUUGGUGGGAUAAAAGCUUACCAAGCCGACGAUCUGUAGCUGGUCUGAGAGGAUGAUCAGCCACACGGGGACGGAGAAACGGCCCAGACCCCUACGGGAGGCAGAAGGGGGGAAUUUUGGAAAAGGGGCGAAAGCCUGAUCCAGCCAUGCCGGGGGCAGGAUGAAGGCCUUCGGGUUGUAAACUGCUUUUGUACGGAACGAAAAGCCUUUUUUUAAAAAAGGGGGGUAAUGACGGUACCGUAAGAAAAAGCACCGGCUAACUACGU
rnacentral:rRNA from 1 species